rnacentral:rRNA from 1 species
UGGGGAAUAUUGCGCAAUGGGCGAAAGCCUGACGCAGCGACGCCGCGUGAGGGAUGAAGGUUUUCGGAUCGUAAACCUCUGUCAGAAGGGAAGAAACCGCACUGUGCUAAUCAGCAGUGCCUUGAAGGUACCUUCAAAGGAAGCACCGGCUAACUCCGUGCCAGCAGCCGCGGUAUACGGAGGGUGCAAGCGUUAAUCGGAAUUACUGGGCGUAAAGCGCACGUAGGCUGCUUUGUAAGUCAGGGGUGAAAUCCCACGGCUCAACCGUGGAACUGCCUUUGAUACUGCUUAGCUUGAAUCCGGGAGAGGGUGGCGGAAUUCCAGGUGUAGGAGUGAAAUCCGUAGAUAUCUGGAGGAACAUCAGUGGCGAAGGCGGCCACCUGGACCGGUAUUGACGCUGAGGUGCGAAAGCGUGGGGAGCAAACAGG